GUACCCGCUGAACUUAAGCAUAUCAAUAAGCGGAGGAAAAGAAACCAACAGGGAUUGCCUCAGUAACGGCGAGUGAAGCGGCAACAGCUCAAAUUUUAAAGCUGGCGUCCUCGACGCCCGCGUUGUAAUUUGGAGAGGCAUCUUCGGUUUGGGCGCCAGCCUAUGUUCCUUGGAACAGGACGUCACAGAGGGUGAGAAUCCCGUGCUUGGCUGGCUGUCCCUCUCCAUGUGAAGUGUCUUCGACGAGUCGAGUUGUUUGGGAAUGCAGCUCAAAAUGGGUGGUAAAUUUCAUCUAAAGCUAAAUAUUGGCGGGAGACCGAUAGCGCACAAGUAGAGUGAUCGAAAGAUGAAAAGCACUUUGAAAAUAGAGUUAAAAAGUACGUGAAAUUGUUGAAAGGGAAGCGCUUGAGACCAGACUCGGCCGGAGACGAUCAGCGGUCCUUCUGGGCCGUGCACUCGUCCUCGGUUGGGCCAGCAUCGGUUGAGACGGUGGGAUAAAGGUCCGGGGAAUGUGGCUCCUUUCGGGGAGUGUUAUAGCCCCGGGCGCAAUGCCGCCAGUCUCGACCGAGGACCGCGCUCUUUUGCUAGGAUGCUGGCGUAAUGGUCUUCAGCGACCCGUCUUGAAACACGGACC
rnacentral:rRNA from 1 species